AAAAAAAUUUUCUGAAAAUUUCCUUAAAUUCACUGAAAUAUAUCUGAAUCAUAUCUGAAAAAUUGCUUACUACCAUUUUGUGCCUCUGAACCAGUUCUGAACACAUUUCAGCAAUAUUGCUGAACUGUCUGAAAAAUCUGAAUUGUUCUGAAUUUGUCUGAAAAAUCUGAACUGCUUUGAAAAUUGCUGAAACAGUCUGAACUCUAUCUGUAUAGUGCUAAAACAGUCUGAACUAUUCUGAAUAUUGCUGAAACAGUCUAAACUUUUCUAAAUAUUGCUGAAAUACUCUAUAUUAAGCAUUACCAUAAUCCUAAUGUAAUUUUUUGUCUGAAACAAUUGUUUAAAAUCUGUUGGAAUUUUGAUGCUGAUCAAUUCUUAUAAAUAUGAAAUUCAAUGCUAUUUAAAUGCUGAAAUAUGUCUGCAAUUGAAUACCGGCAUUCCAAACUGAUGCACUUUUCAGAAAAGAAUUAAAUUUCACCAAUAUUUCAUUUAAAUAAACAAAAAAACUUAACAGAUUAUUUCAAAUGGCGCUGAAAAUGUGUGAAUUCACGUAUCAAUGUGUACCAUAAUUUUACUAAUUUAAUAAUUAGCUCAAACAUUUCAGAAGUUGCUACUAUACAAACCAAUCAGAACUACAAACUGUUGUAAUGACAGUUAUACCAUUAUAGCUCCUCUUUGUAACUUAGUUCUCUCUAGCAGAUAUACAAGUUAAUACUACAGUAUAUAAUUUGUUUCAGGAGUGAUUGUUUACCUCGUUUAUUUAGUGUGCAAGUUGAAACACAAAAUUUCGUUUACGAGCGAUUGGCAUUGCUGUAGCAAAAAACUAAUGAGCAUUUAACAGACACGUAAUAAAACUGUUUCUUGACAUUUCCCAAAGGUCCAUUCACAAAAUCAUUCAUUUCUUAUCUGCAAAAACACCUGCACUCAACCUGCAACUUCGCUCGGACUUUGAAGUGUCCGCCAUUGUUAAUGAGGUAUCGAAGCAAUUCGUCACCGUUACAUAAAGCUCACUGAACUUCAUUACAUAAAAGUCAUUCUAUUACAUCAAAACGAAGAUUUUUUUUUAUCAAAAUUACAAUACAAAUUAUAGCAACAAACUAGGAUGCGAACGUUUUGUUUUCAAUGUUACCAAAAUGAAUUAAAAAUAAAAUUAAACAAAAAAUUGGGGAGGGGUGAAAUUAAAUAGUAACAACUUGAGUACUAUUAAAAGAUAACUAGUUUCUGACAGUUCUAUGUCUGCUUUUAAAGCUAUUUGAUUCAAUUUCCCAGGUGUUUAUAAUAGUUUUGCAUAUAUUUAAACCAACUGUAAAUGAUUAACUUAUUUUUAAUCCGGAAUUAUAUCGGAUUAUCAUCGAGUUGUUUUGCAUACACUACGUCAUUUCCGCCCAAUGAUGACGCACUUUUGAUGGGAGCUACAAGCAGACGGAUUUGAAAAUUCAAGGAUUUAUACAUCAAUUGAUGUUUUAUAGCGGGAUAUUUCUAAAAGAGGUAGGAUACACUAUAGAUUAAAAGCCAUUAAUUGAUAUAUGGAGAUUUUUAUUCAUGAUAAAUGUUGUUUUUUUGUAUUUAAAGAUAAUUUAAUGAUUGAAUUGUAAACAAUGUUUGUAAUCUACACACAUUCUAAUGUUAUGCUACAAAUAAGUCUUAUGAUUUAAUGAAAUAUGCCAAGCUGUAAUCUCAUGUAAUUUAUGAUGCAUAGGAACUUUACAUUGUAUAUAGAUUGUUUUUUGCACCACUCAUAGUUGCUGAUCAUAUGCAGAAAAAAAAUAGGGAAGCUGAGACCUGCAAAAACUGUUCCCAAAAUAACGAUGAUAAAGGAUGGUAAAAAAAAUCAAACUGCACAAGAAGCAUUAGGACAUUUAAAGAAGUUUCAGGGAGAGGCAGAUAAGUGAUGUGGGAAAAAUGUAUAUUUAGAAAAAUAUGAAUAAAUUUAAUUUGCUUGAAAAUCCUA